AUAUCAAUAAGCGGAGGAAAAGAAACCAACAGGGAUUGCCUCAGUAACGGCGAGUGAAGCGGCAACAGCUCAAAUUUGAAAUCUGGCCUCCUUUGGGGGUCCGAGUUGUAAUUUGCAGAGGGUGCUUCGGCGGAAGCUCCGGUUUAAGUCCCUUGGAACAGGACGGCAUAGAGGGUGAGACCCCCGUGUUCAACCGGCAGCGUACCCCGUGUGAAGCCCCUUCGACGAGUCGAGUUGUUUGGGAAUGCAGCUCUAAAUUGGUGGUAAAUUCCAUCUAAAGCUAAAUACCGGCCAGAGACCGAUAGCGCACAAGUAGAGUGAUCGAAAGAUGAAAAGCACUUUGAAAAGAGAGUCAAAAAGUACGUGAAAUUGUUGAAAGGGAAGCGCUUGCGGCCAGACUUACCCAUGGUGUUCAGCCUGCCUUUGGGCAGGUGCAUUUCAUCUGUGGGUAGGCCAGCAUCGGUUCAGGCGGUCGGAUAAAGGCCUCGGGAAUGUGGCCCCUCUCGGGGGGUGUUAUAGCCCGUGGUACAAUGCGGCCCGCCUGGACCGAGGAUCGCGCAUUGCUAGGAUGCUGGCGUAAUGGCCGUAAGCGG
rnacentral:rRNA from 1 species